AGCGGGCGAUGCGGGGUCGCCCCGGGACCGUUCCGCACCGCCGGAGCUGCUACUUUGGGCAAUGUUUGUCUAAGUAUUUAUUCUGAGCGCUGUCGGACCGGAGAUGGUGGCAGCACGCUAAGCCUGCUGGAAUUUAACCCGGGGGAACUUAAAGCGGGCAGCUGGCAGAGCGAAGGAAAAACAAAGUCUGGAGUGUUUGUAUGCAUAGCGUCCACUAAUGCCUACUGGAAAACACUAUGACACCAAGAGUUGCAGCACAGCUCCAUGAAAAUAACCAGCCUACCUCCACAACUUAGGCAUUCCUCACCAGAGAUCUGGAGUUUCCCUCUGGCAUUAACAAGGUCUUGUGAUCUCCCAGAAUAACCAUUUCCUCACCCAAGUGCUAGAUAAGAAACCACAUUCCAGCUUCUUUGCUGGUCCACAAGGCAAAGACAACUUCGUUUGCAUCUCAAUGUCUUACCUGGUCACAGGAGUCGAGGAAUGAUGCAACGGAUUUCUUGCCCUGCAGGAAAGAGCGGGUGGGAGUCCUAGUACCACCUCUACUUCAGGGUUAGGAAUUUCUCAAAAGCAAAGCAGUAUUACUUUCCUGUGAAGUUUUCUCAUGAAAAUAUUUUUUUGUAUGUGGGGAAAAAAAGAGUUCUUUUGGUUUCUUUUUUUCUUUUUCUUUUACCUUAAUGUGUUUUGGGUUUUUUUAUAGAGGUCAUAUUUUUUAUACUGAGUCAUAUCUGAAGUCGGCUUUGAAGCUUUGACCAUGGUGUAACUCACAUACUUAAAAUUUUAAACUUCAGUUUGAUUGAUUCCUCAUUCAUUACUCAGUGUUUCCUCCUAAUUUCUGGCAGGUAGUAAUUUCUGUGUUUUGGGAGAUUUAUGAUUUUGAAAGUCAACCAGGGGAAAUAGUGGGAGGAUGCGGAGAAAUAUUGUCUUGAAUUGCUGACGUAGAAGCCCACAAAUACAGAACAAUUUCCAUGUUGUAUUGAUGUUUCUCUACAAUUUAAAGGACAUUGGUCCUUUAAAUCCUCCUUAUACUAAGGAGGAUAUUUUUUACUAAGAGAUAAUUUUUACUCUAAAGUAGUUACCAUUUCCUGACUCUCCUAAUUUAAAAUUUUAUUGUAACAAGUUGGAAAUUGCAAAUCUUGUCUGUAUUGUAAAGUUCCUCUGACCAAGACUAUUUUUUUACUGCCCAUGUGUACUCUAGAGAUCAGAGUGAAGGCAUUUUGGCAGAUUUCAAAGGUUUCGAGAGGAUUUCAUAUACUAUUUAAUAUAUGAACUCACAUUUUGUUUUAAACAAUGAUCCAACAUUCCUUUUUUGAAAUGGAAGCAGUAAUAAAGUUAGAGAAUUAUAAAUCUUUAAGUGCUUGAGUAAAAUGUUCGUUCUUUUGCAAGCCAUUGUCAACAGUUGCAAAGCAUGAAAGACAGAUCUGUCUGUCUCCUGUUGUUCUUGGAGCAGUAGUGUCUAAAGGGCAAGCUGACAUGCUGGAAAGCAUUUCCCAUGAUAAGGUUAGAGACUGUGAGUGAGGUGAGGAAUUAUUUUUAAACUUUGAAGUUACAGGCUGGGCUCCAUUAACAGAUCAUGUGAGAGAAGGUUAAACAAAGGUGCUUGCAGAAGAGGAGAGAGGCAAUUGAAACAAUCAAAUAUGGAUCUUAAGUUUGUUUUCCUGAAAAUCAGGACUGUGGAUGAACCAGGGCCUUCCUCUCUCAGGACCCUGUCUGCAUCAGUAAUGCAGAGGGGAGUAAUGAAGAGGAUCUGUCAUUGCCUCCAGCUGCCAUUUAAAACUGCCUCUGCUCCCUACAGAAAGCAGUGUAGAUGUUUUGCAAAGGUGAAUGCCAUCAAUAUGUUUUCCAGUCUGGUUAUUUCAACACUUAAUUAUUCCAUUCCCACUCCCCAAGGUGCUUUAUUUACCUGGCUCCUUGGAGCUGGCACUCACAAGUAGGCUUCGGGGAGCAGAGGUUAGGAGGAGCUUCCCUGAUUUGAAACUGUUACUGCAAUUUGGUGCCCUGAUGGACUAAAAGCUGAAAGGAAGGACUAUAGCUAUUUAUGAUAUAGCAAAGCCACGUAGCUUAUGAAAUUUGUUCCUCGUGCAAGAACAUCAACAUUUUUUUGACCCGAGACUCUAAUUUCAGUGUUUGGCAUCUGAACACUGCACCUUUGAUCAACAGUUACUAGUGUAUAACAUCCUCAAUCAUUAAACAAGGUCAAGAAGCCACUCGUUUCACACGUUUCCUUCUUUUUCACAUUCCCAUUCUACCUUCAUCACCAAUCUCCUAUCAUUUAAUUAAUAGAAAUAGCAGGAGAUGACAGAGAACAUUGAAUAAAGUCCCUCUCUCACUUAUAGCUAUGCUGCAGCCCUCCUUUCUCCACAGUGGUGUCCAGGCCACCAUCCC